GCCAGGCGUGGUGGCCCACGCCUGUAAUCCCAGUACUUUGGGAGGCUGAGGCAGGUGGAUCACCUGAGGUCAGGAGUUCAAGACCAGCCUGACCAACAUGGAGAAACCCUGUCUCUA
rnacentral:SRP_RNA from 1 species